CAUUACACAAAUACAAUAUGAAGGCUUCGGCUGGAUUAUUUAUUUCACCCUUGUCUUUUGCGCACUUGUUGUUUCCUGGGCGGGUUCGCCCGCCACCAGGACCACACCAUAAACCUUUUUUGUUAAUGCAGUCAGCGUCAGUACAACAAAUGUAAAUCAUUUACAACUUUCAACAACGGAUCUCUUGGUUCUGGCAUCGAUGAAGAACGCAGCGAAAUGCGAUACGUAGUGUGAAUUGCAGAAUUCAGUGAAUCAUCGAAUCUUUGAACGCACAUUGCGCCCUUUGGUAUUCCAAAGGGCAUGCCUGUUCGAGCGUCAUUUGUACCCUCAAGCUUUGCUUGGUGUUGGGCGUUUUGUCUUUGCUCGCCAAAGACUCGCCUUAAAACGAUUGGCAGCCGACCUCUUGGUUUCGCAGCGCAGCACAAUUUUGCGCUUGCAAAUCAGCAAGUUGGCACUCCAUCAAGAACAUUUUCUUACGUUUGACCUCGGAUCAGGUAGGGAUACCCGCUGAACUUAAGCAUAUCAAUAA
rnacentral:misc_RNA from 1 species